rnacentral:rRNA from 1 species
UACGGAGGGGGCUAGCGUUGUUCGGAAUUACUGGGCGUAAAGCGCACGUAGGCGGCUUUGUAAGUUAGAGGUGAAAGCCCGGAGCUCAACUCCGGAAUUGCCUUUAAGACUGCAUCGCUCGAAUCAUGGAGAGGUGAGUGGAAUUCCGAGUGUAGAGGUGAAAUUCGUAGAUAUUCGGAAGAACACCAGUGGCGAAGGCGGGUUGCUGGGCUGACACUGACGCUGAGGCGCGAAAGCUAGGGGAGCGAACGGG